GGCGUGUGUGCCGUGUCGUGUUUGUCAUCCUUCCAGAGAGCUGCGUCUACCAUUCACUUGGCCGGACGUACGCGAUCUGGAUCGAUUACUUUGAAAAAAUUAGAGUGUUUAAAGCAGGCUUACGCUGUGAAUACAUUAGCAUGGAAUAAUAAUUUAGGACUUCGGUUCUAUUUUGUUGGUUUCUAGGACUGAAGUAAUGAUUGAUAGGGACAGUUGGGGGUGCUAGUAUUCCGCGGCCAGAGGUGAAAUUCUUGGAUUCGCGGAAGACUAACUACUGCGAAAGCAUUCACCAAGGAUGUCUUCUUUAAUCAAGAACGAAAGUUGGGGGAUCGAAGACGAUCAGAUACCGUCGUAGUCUCAACCAUAAACUAUACCGACUAAGGAUCAGUGAACGUUGAUUUACGACUUCAUUGGCACUUUGUGAGAAAUCAAAGUCUUUGGGUUCCGGGGGGAGUAUGGUCGCAAGGCUGAAACUUAAAGGAAUUGACGGAAGGACAGCACCAGGAGUGGAACCUGCGGCUUAAUUUGACUCAACACGGGAAAACUUACCAGGUCCAGACACAGGAAGGAUUGACAGAUUGAAGCUCUUUCUUGAUUCUGUGGGGAGUGGUGCAUGGCCGUUCUUAGUUGGUGGAUUGAUCUGUCUGGUUUAUUCCGAUAACGAACGAGACCUUAGUCUGCUAAAUAGUGUUGCGAACCACCUAACGGGUGAAUCCAGGGAGGUACUGGGGCUUCG
rnacentral:rRNA from 1 species